rnacentral:lncRNA from 1 species
AGAGGUUAAGGCCUGGCUUCUGCUCCCGUCGCGUCACGGCGCGUCCGGGUUCAAAUCCGCCUGCCGACCUCUCGGGGUGUUUGAGAGGUGAUGAAAUGGGAGGUGGCCCCCCAUCUUGUGGACGGUGUAGGACGUGAUAAAAUCAACUCGCGAGCUGACCAGGAACUAAGUUGACGCGCCGUUGAUCCGCUAGAUUUGGUUGGAUGCUGGUGGUGAGUUGCCAAACUCAAAGAGUACACUCUGAAGUCGGAUGGGGUGAAUGGCUUCGGGUGCCCCUCUAGCAGGGGAGAGCAGGGAAUUGCCUCGGGUAGGAGGCCACUGGUGAAGCUUAACCACCCUGUAACAACAUCAACUCCCCAUAAUCAAUCCCCUCACGUUGCUCGAAACCCUUGGCAACUAAACGCGCCUUAAAACGCUCCACGCUGCCAUCAUCGCUGUACACCUUGUAUACCCAACGACACGGCAACAAACGAGUACCAGGAGGUGGCUUCUUCAGCUCCCAAGUACUAUUAGCCAUCUGGGCGGCGAUCUCCUCGUCCAUCGCACGCCGCCAGUCGUCUGCAUGUGGACUUGCAAUUGCUUCCUCAAACGAAUUAGGCUCAGGAAUACCAGCAGAGAAAGCAGCGUUAACGCGACCAGUGACAGUGCGACCAGGUUCGUUUCGCCACCAUUCGCCAGGGCGUUUACGCUCUCUAACUGGGUACCUAGUUCCCGCCAUUUCCACAUCAGGCUGAUUGAUUCCUUGCCCGUUCGCACUGCUGGAAGGUCCAGCCCCAGCCGGCGCCCCCUCGCCACCCAAAUGCGGCGAUCCCUCGCCGACGGUGCUACCUGGUGUCCCUUCGCCAGCCCUAGGCAGCGAUCCCUCACCAGAUAAACUAGUGUGAAACUCCUCCUCCUCGUCGGCAUCGGACUCAUAGUCGGAGUCCCCGGCAUUACGCCGCCGGCCGACAUUAGACUCGUCANNNNNNNNNNNNNNNNNNNNNNNNNNNNNNNNNNNNNNNNNNNNNNNNNNGUGACAACCCUGCUUGACGACCAUACUGGUCUUUCAGCUGUUGCGUUUACAGCGACCAAGGAGGAGGUCUACCAGAAGAUGGUGGUAAUGAUAGCGGAACUGGAGCGCGCUACUGGCAGGCAGGUUAAGGAGGUGCGUACAGAUCGUGGCGGGGAGUUCGUUAAUACUCGCACGAAGGCCUAUUUCGCUUCCAGGGGUAUUCUACACGGAACUACGGUAGGCUACACCCCUGAGCAGAACGGAGCUGCAGAACGUUUAAAUCGCACUCUUUUGGACAAGACUAGGGCUAUGCUAGUUGAGUCUGGACUGCCUAAAUCAUUAUGGGCGGAGGCGUUAGCGACAGCCAACUAUCUUAGGAAUGUGUCGCCAACUGCUGGGUCAACCGUCACUCCGUACGAAGCUUUCUUUAACGUUCGUCCGAACGUCAGUCACCUGCGAGUCUUUGGAUGCGUUGCCUACGUCCACGUACCCGACGUCAAGCGCGACAAGUUCGACCCGGUGAGCAGGCGUGGAAUACUUGUCGGAUACGGGAACGGUGGACAGUAUCGUGUACUAUACGAGGACGGCAUUAUUGCCGUAGUUUCCAACAUUCGUUUUGAUGAAUCUAACGUCGGCCGGCGGCGUAAUGCCGGGGACUCUGAUUAUGAGUCCGAUGCCGACGAGGAGGAGGAUUUUCGCACUAGUUUGCCUGGUGAGGGAUCGCUGCCUAAGGCUGGCGAAGGGAUACCAGGUAGCACCGUCGGCGAGGGAUCGCCACACUUGGGUGGCGAGGGGGCGCCGGCUGGGGCUGGACCUUCCAGCAGUGCGAACGGGCAAGGAAUCAAUCAGCCUGAUGUGGAAAUGGCGGGAACUAGGUACCCAGUUAGAGAGCGUAAACGCCCUGGCGAAUGGUGGCGAAACGAACCUGGUCGCACAGUCACUGGUCGCGUUAACGCUGCUUUCUCUGCUGGUAUUCCUGAGCCUAAUUCGUUUGAGGAAGCAAUUGCAAGUCCACAUGCAGACGACUGGCGGCGUGCGAUGGACGAGGAGAUCGCCGCCCAGAUGGCUAAUAGUACUUGGGAGUUGAAGAAGCCACCUCCUGGUACUCGUUUGUUGCCGUGUCGUUGGGUAUAUAAGGUUAAGUACAGCGAUGACGGCAGCGUGGAGCGUUUUAAGGCGCGUUUAGUUGCCAAGGGUUUCGAGCAACGUGAGGGGAUUGAUUAUGGGGAGUUGUUUGCCCCUACCUCUCGUGGUUCGUCGUUGCGUGCUUUAUUAGCAGUUGCCGCAGCCCGGAACAUGACGGUACAUCAGCUCGAUGUGUCUACUGCGUUUCUGAAUGGUGAGCUGAAGGAGGAGUUGUGGAUGGAGCAACCGCCUGGGUAUGCAUCCAGUGACCGGUCGCUUGCGUGCAAGCUGCAGAAGUCUAUUUACGGUUAAAGCAGGCACCCCGUUGCUGGUAUGAAAAACUAUCAGCAGAGUUCGCCAAAUUGGGUCUUUAUCCUUCGAAGUCUGAUCNNNNNNNNNNNNNNNNNNNNNNNNNNNNNNNNNNNNNNNNNNNNNNNNNNNNNNNNNNNNNNNNNNNNNNNNNNGAACUAGGAUUGCGUUUUGGGGGUGUUGGCGACGUUGCUAUGUCCGGGUACAGUGAUUCGGACUGGGCAGGAGACCCAGUUACGCGGCGUUCUACUUCCGGUUACGUAUUCACUCUUAAUGGGGCUGCGAUUAGCUGGAGCAGCCAACUUCAACGUACUGUGGCGGCUUCGUCGGUGGAGGCUGAGUACCAAGCUACAGCAGCGGCUGUUCGUGAGGCUUUGUGGCUUCGCAAGCUGAUGGUUGAUUUGAGCUUGCCUGAGAGCGCGGUGAAAAUCCAGAUAGACUCCCAGGGGGCGCUUAGCUUGGGAAACAACCCGAUUACGUCUGCUCGGUCGAAGCACAUCAACGUGCAGCAUCACAUAGUGCGUGAGAGGGUGAAUAGUGGUGAGGUGCAGUUGGAAUACUGCCCUACGGAGUGGAUGGUUGCGGAUGUGCUAACGAAGGCUCUGGGCGAGGUGAAGUUCAAACGUUGCCGAGAUGCGAUGGGCCUUGUGUGUGAAGUGUGCAGAUGAACUUGGUACUCGUUGGGAUACGGCCCGAGGGGGCGUGUUGAGGAAACGGUCCUCUCCCAACUCGUGUGGUUGUCGACCAGGGGAUUUGACCCCGGGUCUGCGCCUGACUAAUGGGGAAGACUUACCCCAGAACCUUAUGGGCUACCGAUGCAUAUCCGGUAGCUAAGUGAUAGACAUUAGGGCACCGUCAGGACGGCGCAGUGAGAUCGCGGAAUGUACGUGCAGUUAGAUCGCGGAAUGUACGAGUUUUCCGCUAGCGCCGGUAUUUAGGGCGGUGACUGCGCUUAUUUGUUUAUCUCACAACGAUCGGUAUUCCUACAAGGAAUCUCCUCAAGUCCUGCCGAACGCUAACAAUACUCUUUACAUUACUUGUAACAGUUUAUCGUGCUAAAUAUCUUCGCCACCGGCAAUCCUUCCGAAAUAACAAUCAGCGUUAGCCGUCACCGUCGCCAAUUCUUCAAUAGUUCCCGCCAUUUCCACAUCAGGCUGAUUGAUUUCUUGCCCGUUCGCACUGCUGGAAGGUCCAGCCCCAGCCGGCGCCCCCUCGCCACCCAAAUGCGGCGAUCCCUGGCCGACGGUGCUACCUGGUGUCCCUUCGCCAGCCCUAGGCAGCGAUCCCUCACCAGAUAAACUAGUGUGAAACUCCUCCACCUCGUCGGCAUCGGACUCAUAAUCGGAGUCCCCGGCAUUACGCCGCCGGCCGACAUUAGACUCAUCGAAACGAACGUAAGAAACUACGGCAAUAAUGCCGUCCUCGUAUAGCACACGAUACUGUCCUCCGUUCCCGUAUCCGACAAGUAUUCCACAUCUGCUCACCCCUGCUCACCGGGUCGAACUUGUCGCGCUUGACGUCGGGUACGUGGACGUAGGCAACGCAUCCAAAGACUCGCAGGUGACUGACGUUCGGACGAACGUUAAAGAAAGCUUCGUACGGAGUGACGGUUGACCCAGCAGUUGGCGACACAUGCCUAAGAUAGUUGGCUGUCGCUAACGCCUCCGCCCAUAAUGACUUAGGUAGACCGGACUCGACAAGCAUAGCCCUAGUUUUGUCUAGGAGAGUGCGAUUUAAGCGUUCCGCUGCUCCGUUCUGCUCAGGGGUGUAGCCUACCGUAGUCCCGUGUACAAUACCCCUGGAAGCGAAAUAGGCCUUCGUGCGAGUAUUAACGAACUCCCCGCCACGAUCUGUACACACCUCCUUAACCUGCCUGCCAGUAGCGCGCUCCAGUUCCGCUAUCAUUACCACCAUCUUCUGAUAGACCUCCUCCUUGGUCGCUGUAAAACAACAGCUGAAAGACCGGUAUAAUCGUCAAGCAGAGUUAUCACGUAACACGAACCACUAGGCGAAGGUUCAGGCAUAGGUCCACACACAUCCAUUAACAGGCAGGCGGCUGGCAGAGGUUAAGGCCUGGCUUCUGCUCCCGACGCGUCCCGGCGCGUCUGGGUUCAAAUCCGCCUGCCGACCUCUCGGGGUGUUUGAGAGGUGAUGGGAGGUGGCCCCCCAUCUUGUGGACGGUGUAGGACGUGAUAAAAUCAACUCGCGAGCCGACCAGGAACUAAGUUGACGCGCCGUUGAUCCGCUAGACUUGGUUGGAUGCUGGUGGUGAGUUGCCAAACUCAAAGAGUACACUCUGAAGUCGGAUGGGGUGAAUGGCUUAGGGUGCCCCUCUAGCAGGGGAGAGCAGGGAAUUGCCUCGGGAAGGAGGCCACUGGUGAAGCGUAACCACCCUGUAACAACAUCCAUGUGAACAAGUGCUAGUGGCUGGGCUGCCUUGUGCCCUGUUAACGGAAAAGGACCUCGUGUCUGUUUUGCAUAAACGCAAGUCUCACACACACACGCGCUGGCUCAUUGUAUGCUGUGUCGGUCAACAUCGAAUCCAGUUACCAUAUCAUGACGCAGCAGCGCCUCAAGGUUGCUGUAUCCUAAGUGGCCAUACCUUCGGUGCCAAAGUGCUGCACGUUCAGCUCCGAUACCCACGGCAGCACACACUGCAUCACCACCAGAAGGUAUCCUGUUGUCUUCACCUGUCCGCCGCCGAAGACCACACUGCCUCCACGAUCAUCAAUGAUGCGGACCGAUAUGAUUUUGGCGGUGGCCUCCUCAUCGACGUAGACCUUCUUGAAAGUGAUGGCCUGUUUAUCAUUGACGUUAGACCGAAUCAUAAGCGUGCCAACUUCAGUCGGCCGAAGAGACUGUCCCUUGAUGCCCAUGAUGUUGAAGCGCUCCCAUGGCUCCAAUAACCGCACGUUGGAAAGUUCUGAGCGGUCAUACGUUAUGUGGUGAGUGGCGGCUGAGUCCAGAAACCAUUCCGUCGGACGCUCGCUGUUGUAUGUAUUGGAGAAUUGGCGACGGUGACGGCUAACGCUGAUUGUUAUCUCGGAAGAAUUGCCGGCGGCGAAGAUAUUUAGCACGAUAAAACGUUACAAGUUAUGUAAAGAGUAUUAUAAGCGUUCGGCAGGACUUGAGGAGAUUCCUGGUAGGAAUACCGAUCGUUGUGAGAUAAACAAAUAAGCGCAGUCACCGCCCUAAAUACCAGCGCUAGCGGAAAACUCGUACAUUCCGCGAUCUAACUGCACGUACAUUCCGCGAUCUCACUGCGCCGUCCUGACGGUGCCCAAUGUCUAUCACUUAGCUACCGGAUAUGCAUCGGUAGCCCAUAAGGUUCUGGGGUAAGUCUUCCCCAUUAGUCAGGCGCAGACCCGGGGUCAAAUCCCCUGGUCGACAAACACACGAGUUGGGAGAGGACUGUUUCCUCAACACGCCCCCUCGGGCCGUAUCCCAACGAGUACCAAGUUCAUCUGCACACUUCACACAAGGCCCAUCGCAUCUCGGCAACGUUUGAACUUCACCUCGCCCAGAGCCUUCGUUAGCACAUCCGCAACCAUCCACUCCGUAGGGCAGUAUUCCAACUGCACCUCACCACUAUUCACCCUCUCACGCACUAUGUGAUGCUGCACGUCGAUGUGCUUCGACCGAGCAGACGUAAUCGGGUUAUUUCCCCAGCUAAGCGCCCCCUGGGAAUCUAUUUGGAUUCUGAUAGCGCUCUCAGGCAAACCCAAAUCAACCAUCAGCUUGCGAAGCCACAAAGCCUCGCGAACAGCUGCUGCUGUCGCUUGAUACUCGGCCUCCACCGACGAAGCCGCCACAGUACGUUGAAGUUGGCUGCUCCAGCUAAUCGCAGCCCCAUUAAGAGGAAAACGAGCCGAAGANNNNNNNNNNNNNNNNNNNNNNNNNNNNNNNNNNNNNNNNNNNNNNNNNNUUCGCCACCGGCAAUCCUUCCGAAAUAACAAUCAGCGUUAGCCGUCACCGUCGCCAAUUCUUCAAUAGUUCCCGCCAUUUCCACAUCAGGCUGAUUGAUUUCUUGCCCGUUCGCACUGCUGGAAGGUCCAGCCCCAGCCGGCGCCCCCUCGCCACCCAAAUGCGGCGAUCCCUGGCCGACGGUGCUACCUGGUGUCCCUUCGCCAGCCCUAGGCAGCGAUCCCUCACCAGAUAAACUAGUGUGAAACUCCUCCACCUCGUCGGCAUCGGACUCAUAAUCGGAGUCCCCGGCAUUACGCCGCCGGCCGACAUUAGACUCAUCGAAACGAACGUAAGAAACUACGGCAAUAAUGCCGUCCUCGUAUAGCACACGAUACUGUCCUCCGUUCCCGUAUCCGACAAGUAUUCCACGCCUGCUCACCCCUGCUCACCGGGUCGAACUUGUCGCGCUUGACGUCGGGUACGUGGACGUAGGCAACGCAUCCAAAGACUCGCAGGUGACUGACGUUCGGACGAACGUUAAAGAAAGCUUCGUACGGAGUGACGGUUGACCCAGCAGUUGGCGACACAUGCCUAAGAUAGUUGGCUGUCGCUAACGCCUCCGCCCAUAAUGACUUAGGUAGACCGGACUCGACAAGCAUAGCCCUAGUUUUGUCUAGGAGAGUGCGAUUUAAGCGUUCCGCUGCUCCGUUCUGCUCAGGGGUGUAGCCUACCGUAGUCCCGUGUACAAUACCCCUGGAAGCGAAAUAGGCCUUCGUGCGAGUAUUAACGAACUCCCCGCCACGAUCUGUACACACCUCCUUAACCUGCCUGCCAGUAGCGCGCUCCAGUUCCGCUAUCAUUACCACCAUCUUCUGAUAGACCUCCUCCUUGGUCGCUGUAAAACAACAGCUGAAAGACCGGUAUAAUCGUCAAGCAGAGUUAUCACGUAACACGAACCACUAGGCGAAGGUUCAGGCAUAGGUCCACACACAUCCAUUAACAGGCAGGCGGCUGGCAGAGGUUAAGGCCUGGCUUCUGCUCCCGACGCGUCCCGGCGCGUCUGGGUUCAAAUCCGCCUGCCGACCUCUCGGGGUGUUUGAGAGGUGAUGGGAGGUGGCCCCCCAUCUUGUGGACGGUGUAGGACGUGAUAAAAUCAACUCGCGAGCCGACCAGGAACUAAGUUGACGCGCCGUUGAUCCGCUAGACUUGGUUGGAUGCUGGUGGUGAGUUGCCAAACUCAAAGAGUACACUCUGAAGUCGGAUGGGGUGAAUGGCUUAGGGUGCCCCUCUAGCAGGGGAGAGCAGGGAAUUGCCUCGGGAAGGAGGCCACUGGUGAAGCGUAACCACCC